GCGGCAGGUGCCUGCCAGGGAACCCCCGAGGUUUCCUUCCCACCCCGCCUUGCAAAGGCGUUGGCGGCCGCUGCUGGCUUAUUAUUAAACCCGCGCUGCUUCUGUCGCUGGUGUGCCUGAACACGUGGGCUGAGUGACAGAAAUGAGCAACCCGGAGUGAAAAGUUGGCAGCCCUCCUUUCUUGAAAGCAGUUGCUUAAAAGCAUGCGCGCAUGGUUUCGUUUCGUUUGCCGCCUUUCCACUGUUCAGAGCACGCUCGAGGCGGCUCACAAUGGAAGGAAAACUUAAAAAAACAAAGUGCGAGACUGGCUUCAUUAUGAUCAAAUAAUGGAGGCAUACGAUCUGGACAAAAAAAUUGGCUUCCAGGUGGAAAAAUCAAAAUUGGAAACAGAACUGUUGGAUCCCAAAACUAAGAUUUUGUCAAGGAUGUAUAACUUGCUGUUGAAAUGGAAUACUCAGGAUGAAACGGUGAAAUCUGCUACGAUUAAAUGGGCACAAGAUGUUGGACAUAACAUUAUGAUGGCUGACUGGGAACAGUUAUGGACCACAGGUAUGAAGUUUACGGCAUGUAAUGCCUUAAGAGAGAAUAUUAUGAAAAUGAUAUACAGGUGGUACAUGACCCCAGUCAAGCUUGCAAAACUCUACCAUUUGCCCGAUAAUAAAUGUUGGAAAUGUAAAGAAACUGAAGGUACAUUCUUUCACCUUUGGUGGACGUGCCCAAGGAUUAAGGCUUUCUGGGAGAUGAUAUAUAAUGAAAUGAAAAAGGUAUUUAAAUAUACCUUCUUGAAGAAACCAGAGGCCUUUCUCCUGGGCAUAGUCAGCCAAUUGGUGUCAAAGAAGGAUAGAACUUUCUUUAUGUAUGCCACAACAGCAGCAAUAAUACUUAUUGCAAAGUAUUGGAAGACACAAGAUCUACCCACCCUGGAAGAAUGGCAGAUGAAGGUGAUGGACUAUAUGGAAUUGGCGGAAAUGACUGGCAGAAUCCGAGACCAGGGAGAAGAGUCGGUGGAAGAAGAUUGGAAAAAGUUUAAAGACUAUUUACAGAAAUAUUGUAAAAUUAAUGAAUGUUAGAAUGAUGUUGGAUAGAAAUUAAGUGGUUUUUAGCUGUAAUACUAUAAGGGAAUAUGAAAAAUGGAUUACUAACAGGUAAAAAUUUAAUGUUACAAUAUUUUAAGAUUAAAGACUAGGAUAAACAAAGAGGGGAAGGAUUUGCUGAACUAACAAACUGAACUGGAAUACAAAAAAGGGAGGCGUGAGGAGGUCCGGGAAACAAGCUAAUGAAAGAUAAGUAACGGAAAGAUUGAGUUGUUUUUAACUACUUUUAUUUUGUAUUUUUCUUUUUUCUUUUUUCAUUUUGUAAUAUCUUGAAAAUUUUAAUAAAUAUCUUUUUUUAAAAAAAAGGAAAGUAACGUGACAACAUCACGGAAUUGUGAAGUUGGGAAAGGACCACGAGAGUCAUCUAGUCGACCCCGUGCAAUCCAGGAAUCUUUUUGCCCAAGGCGGGGCUCGAACCCACCACCCUGAGAUUAGGAGUCUUCUGAUUUACUGACUGAACAGUAAAAAAACAUUUUAAAGAACACAACCAAACAGAAGAAGUUCCACAUACAGUGGUACCUCGGGUUACAGACGCUUCAGGUUACAGACUCCACUAACCCAGAAAUAGUGCUUCAGGUUAAGAACUUUGCUUCAGGAUGAGAACAGAAAUCGUGCUCCAGUGGCGCAGCGGCAGCGGGAGGCCCCAUUAGCUAAAGUGGUGCUUCAGGUUAAGAGCAGUUUCAGGUUAAGAACGGACCUCCAGAAUGAAUUAAGUUCUUAACCCGAGGUACCACUGUAUAUCGCAACAUGAUCGAAAAUGCAAAAAGCCAACAGCAACGAACAACAGCCUAAAAGCUCAAAUAACACCCCAGCCCACUGCUGAAGUCAGUCAGGGUCCUGCCUUCCCAUGUCAGGUAUAAAAAAGCCCUGAAAAACAGGGAGUAGGUCUUCCAUUUAAUUAUAACACUGCUUUCGCAUAUGCAGAGUUAUCACUAGUUUGCAGGUGGAUUAUGUUUGGCUUUACAGAAGGUUCAUAGUUCAGUGGGCAGAGCAUAUGCCUUGCAUGCAGAAGGUCUCAGCUUCGAUUCCUGUGAUCCUUGGUUUCAUUACCUUCAGUUGUAGAGAGAUCUCAGGUAGCAGGAUCGAGAUGAUCUCUGCUUAGACUCCCUUACCAGUAGACAAAAUAGUCAGCACUGAGGCAGACAAGAGCAUGGUCUGACAUAAGGCAGCUUCCUAUGGUAGUAUAUGAACUCUGGGGCACCAUGCCAUAACCAUUCAUGUGGCAAUUUCUCCUAGUUGUGAAAAGCAUGGAACAGCUGCAUACAUUUUGCACACCAUUGCAAUACCUAAUGUCACCGAGUUUCCUGUGGCUUGUAAGCAGUAAAAUCCAACAUGUAUAGACACCCUAGAUACAGAUCUCUUGCCUUGGUGAAGGAGUCACUGCCACAACAUAUUUUGUGCCACGACAAAAUCCAAAUGGUGCCCAUCAUAGUGGUAGAAAAUAAUAAUAGACUAAAAUACGUAAGAACAUAAGAGUCUGCUGGAUCAGGUCAAUGGCCCAUUUAGUCCGGCAACCUUUUCUCACAGUGGUUAACCAGAUGCCCACAAGCAAAAUCUGAGCACAACAGCAAUCUGCCCAACUGGUAUUCAGAGGUCUGCUGCCACUAAUAGUGGAUGUGGAUGGAACAUUACCAGAAUUUGCUGCAAUUUAAUUGUACCGCAAAACAUACUACCUGAGGAAUGCCACCCUGCCUGAUGGCAGUAGGGCCCGAGUCUCAGCUGUCACCUGCAUGAGGGUCAAAAUAGUUAAGAUGCCAGAAGAUCCAUGAGUGGGAAUACGGGUACUUCAAGAUUGUUGCUAUUUUCAGGUGGUAUUCCAUUAUAUGCUGGCAGAGUAAGUUUGCUCAUAUACAGUUGAUUGGCAGGUCUUGUGCAAUGACGGGGAAAUGCACUGUAAAGUGAGAAAUAACAUUUGCUUUGAUGCCACAUCAUCCAACCUCCCUACAAACAAACCAGGUUGAUUAUUCAGUAAAGAGAUCACCUGGAAGUGCCCUGGGUCUCUUUGUGAGUUUUGUCAAAGGUACAACAGCAGGUGCAGAUGUCUUGAUUUGGUUUUGGACCACAAUACUAAGGUUAGGAAUCACCAAUGCCAUUUCCCCAAAAUAAAUUGCCUCCUAAAGCUGCUGUUUGCCCCAUGAGGGGAAGUUACAUGUGAGGAAAGGGUUGGCUUCUCUCCCUAAUUAUGUGUGGUCUGAUCUGAAUUGUCAUCCCAACCCCCCAACCCCAUGUUCCCUGUUAGCUUUGGGGAAACCCACAGGAGAUCAAGUCACCCAUUUCCCAUCAUCUAGUCUAGUUUGGACAUCAAUAUACAAUACCAACAUUGGCCCAAGGCUUAAUUGGAAUGACCAAAGAGCUCCAUAAGUUGUUUUUACAUCCUACAUCCUUCUAAGACAGCUGAAAAUUGAAUUUUGAAAACACAAGAAGCAAUUUUAAUGUUCUAAGGAGUGGACUUUGCAUGGUGGAAGAGGAGGGGUCCUGGUAGCCCCACGUUUCUCUCUCAGUCUUCGCCUCUCUCAGGGCUCGUGAUGGCCCACCUACAAAGGAAGGCUGGCACCACUGCAAGGGUAAAAGGAAGACAAGUAGCACUGUAGAGUUUAGGGAGGGUCUGUCAACUCAUCACAACCAAGAAAAGGGCAAGAGCUGUCCAACCCACCUUCUGCCUUUGCAGUUUUGAGGAGGAGGACCUAAAAAAUGUGGGAAAGGCAUUCUGUUUGAAGUCCAUAUGGAAAAGGGGACACUUUUGUCCAAAAAAGGAACAAUCCCAUUUUUAUAGGGAUGAGUGGCAACUCUAUUGGUAUCCCAAAGUAGCUACUAAUACAGUGUGAUCAUACCUUGCAUUUAUGCAGCACAUGUAAAGUGUUCAACAUGCUUAGCAUGCAUUAUUUUGGUUCUUACAACAAACAUAUAAUAAAUUGUCCCCAUAUGGGGGGGGGUGAGGACUCAGGAACUGAAACACUUGUGAUUUGCCUGGGGUCAUCCAGUGAGCUAAUAGCGGAGGUGAGGUUUGAAUCUGAACUUCACAUUUUUAGUUACUUUGGUGUUCAUAUAAUACAUAUAAUACAAGCCACAUUAGCACAUAUUUAACUGAACUGUAAUACAUAGCUAUGGUCUGCCAUCGUGAUUAAAACAGGACACAUCAAAAGGCCACAUUGAAUAUAUAAGCAGCCUGGCCACAGCUGCCAGAACAACCAAGUUAUCCUAAUUCCACUAUCACAGGAGCAGUCCAAUUAGGAACACAUUUUUCUUUAUUCUUAAAGGAUCUAAAUUGUCUUAAGACUGUCCUAGAUUCUCUCCAACUUUAAAGUUGUACUAUUUCAAACUAGUGCUACCAAAAAAACCCCACAGGAUCAUUAACCUAGUUUUUAGGUUAUGGGUCAGCACUUUUUUCUAGAUCCAUAAAGGCUAGAAACUAAAGCAUAAUCCUCAAACUAAGUAACUCAGGCUUGCCCCAUUAAAUUCAAAAUUCAGUAGAUCCUUCCUGGAUUUGUGAAUUGAUAACUGCGGUCCAACAUUUAAAAUUUAAAGCAUCAUGAUGAAUAAGAUUGCUCCUCCCACACACUGCUUUUCUUCAUUUACAAUAAUGACCCUGUUUACUCUGUAAGAACCUGAAGACACUGCAUAUUUAAAGCAGUUUAAUCACUAUUAUAUGUGAGGCCCUGGGAUGUCUAACAGAUGUUUAACAUCUACAAAACUAUAGUGUCCUAAGUUCCUUAGGGACAACCACAACUGUUAAAUUGGUUUGCAAUCUGCUUGUAAUGCCAACUAGUGUGUCCUUGUUUUCCACUGUUUUUUACUGUCACGGUUUACUGCAUUGUAUGGCUGAAACUGUAUAAAUAUCAACAUCCACUCCUUGUCUUCAGUUAAGUGCACAGGAUUUGUGAGGAGUUACAACAUAACGGGCCAACAUCCAACACGUUUAAAGCCUAUCAAAAGUAAUACAGUGGUACCUCGGGUUUAGAACUUAAUUCGUUCCGGAGGUCCGUUCUUAACCUGAAACUGUUCUUAACCUGAAGCACCACUUUAGCUAAUGGGGCCUCCUGCUGCCGCUGCGCGAUUUCUGUUCUCAUCCUGAAGCAAAGUUCUUAACCCGAGGUACUAUUUCUGGGUUAGCGGAGUCUGUAACCUGAAGCGUCUGUAACCUGAAGCGUCUGUAACCCGAGGUACCACUGUAGUCUCAAGUGUUGCCUAACUUGACUUUGGUGACUAGCGAAUACUUUGCCCAUGGAAAAUGCUGCCCAAAUGCAUUUUCAACUGUUGCCUGGCCUGACCAAAACUUUGUUGAUGCCAGUCCCGAUCCAAAGAGUCACAUGACUCCAUGUAUCCUGCCUUUAGGAAACUGUUUUUGAGCCCCAGGAGACUUUCCGAAGGGGCUGCGGCUAAAAGCAAAGAGAGAAACUCUGCGCAAAUUCCUGGGCAAACAUCAAGGGACUGCUUGGAUCUUGACCACAGUAUUUAUUUACUAGGUGAUCAGAUGUGAAGUACAAAUGUGAGUUUCCUAAAUGAAGGAAUGAAAAUCCUCAUUAGCAUGCCAGUCCAACACCCUUCUCUUCCACAGCCUCCCCCUUUGCUCAUUUCCAUGCCUAUUGUAUGCAUCUGUUGUGACAAAGAGCUUCUAUAUGUACAAAGAGUUGGCAAUUUUUCAUUCCCAGUGACUAGCUCCAUGCCUGCAGUUACUCUAUGUCAACCUGGCUUGAAGAACUCUUGCAACAAGUUUGGUGAAAGGCUGCAAUUAAUAUAACAAUUUAAAAAUCCGUUUGUACUUGGCACUGAGACAGACUUUGUUACUCCAUUGCACAUAUGUAACAUAUUGUAUCUGUGCAGGCAUGAAAAGAGUCAGAAUUGGGAUUCUAAUGAGAUGUCACCAUAGUAAAACAAUACAUUGUUUUGUUUGUUUUGUUUUAAAAAAAGCUUACAGUGGCUUGCUGGUGGUAUUGUGGCUCUUCUGAAAGGCUACUUGGAUGAUUUUGGAAAAAUGUAUUAUGAUGAGAGACAUGUGCUCCUAAUUAUUUAGUGCUGCUUACAGGAUAUAGUAAUGUUUUUAAAGAACAAAUAAAAUGGAAGUAGAUAAAUAGAUGGGGCCUACUUGUAAGUAAGGGGGCACAACAGCGCUUGCUACUGUGGCUCAAGUGCUAUGCUGUACAAUUAAAAUUGCUGCUUUAUACAGUGAUCCUGCGGUAGAUCCUUUAAAAAAAGAGUAAUCUCUGCAGAACGUGACCUGUCAUGUAGCAUGCAGUAUGAAGAAAACAUGUCCUAAUUCUCAACAUUUGGCAUUUUCCCGGAAAUAAAAGUGGUAUAUCAGUUAUGGUUGAGGGCACUUAAAUAUAGUCCUGUUAGCAACCUUACAUGUUGCAAUGCAAGUGUUAAGAUUAAAGACUGCUUAUAUGUUUUCCAGUGUUUAAACCACAUCAAAAUUAAACCAUAAAAGUUAAGCCAAUUGAAAUAUACUCAGAGUCGCAAAGUGAUUUCAUGCUCUUUAUUCAGCUCAUAGUGGUGAGGAGGAAUGAAUGAAUGUCCCCUCAAAGUAUCUGCUUUAUAUACAUUAUUUACACAAUGGGCUGCACAUGAUUGGCUAAUUCUGGAAUUCUACUGUAAGCCAAUCAGGUUGUGGAUUCACUUCUAUCUGGAGCAUGAUUGGGUGGUUCCUGCCAACCAAUCAUACUGCUGCAUUGUUCUAGGACCAGUCAGACUGCUGCAUUCUGAAUCCUAUUGUUCUAGGACCAGUCAGACUGCUGCAAUUUGGAUCCUAUUGUUCUAGGACCAAUCAGACUGCUGCAGCUUGGAUCCUAUUCAACUCAGUACAUAACACCAAUAUAUAAGCCAUAUUAUAUUAUAGAAGAAAUGUGUGCAGCAGCUACACGAUCUAGAUGCAUGCGAAAUCUCAACUAUACAACCUUCUCCCUAAAAUAAUAGCAUCAAUGUUACAUCACAAGUAACUUUUAUGAGUCGCGUUUUGUUCAAAAACUAGCACGAGUUUUUAAUGGGAUCUGCGUAACUGGUUUCAACUGCUGCCUGUGCUAAGUAACACACCCCAUACUCUCAAAUAAGUGAGCAUACAAUUGCAGACUAAGCUUUUAUCUUAUUUUAAGCAGGAGUGGAUGGAUGCAAAAGGGUGGAGCACCCACACAGAGAGCCAUUAACAGAGAGCCCAUAUUUCCUCAUUUCAAAAAGGGGGCAUUAGCCAUGGUAACUACAAUGCAUAGAAUUGAACUGUAGGUUCAGCUUUCAGAGACAAAUGAAGAAGUAUUCUUAAUUCCUGGGUUUCAGCCUACUUUAUCUGGCUAUAGUGUUGCUGCUGGUAUAAGAGUAGUAAAAGAAAUAAACCUUGCAUUUGCUCAGAGAAAUACAAGAUUACUUCUCAUUAAAACGUCACCUAUCAAAUAGGUUCCUAUUGAACAGUCUGGAUACUGAUGCUCCCCCCCCCCCCGACACGUAUCCAACAGUUUGGCUCUCAAAGUCUACUUUUGGCUUAUCAAAGCAGGGCAACCUUCUUUAACUCAAAUAUAAACCAGUUACUGUGAUACAUGUAUAAACAAACAGGAGCAGUCAAUUAACAUGCCAUUCAUGACAGUGACUGCAGCUACAUCUAGUAUAUAAAUGAGGAGGCCUUGCAACUAAACUUUAGAAUGGAAAACGUCUAACUAUUGUGCGUUCAUAAGCAGUAAAAAUCCUCUUUUAAGUAUUUAUAAAGAUCGCUUAUGAAUGAACUUAGUCAGUUUCACAUAACUGGGGAAAACAGCAGCUCUCAGCCUCCAGGCAUUGAAAAUUCUCUGUACUCCUACAGCAACUUCUGUGCUUUCAAAACAAAGUAAUCUCUUAUUAGUGUUUCUAAAUAUGAAAUGUGACACUAAGAAUUAAUUUCCAUCAGAUUCUAACUUUAUCUGGUGCAGUUUUAGAUCUACAUUUUAGUUCCAUCAAUGCCUGCCUUUAGCAACAAAAACUAGGCAGACAUCAGCCAAAAUUAUAUUUAAUGUCAUUUUUAGUUUAAUUGGUCUGGUGGUGGAAGAGCUGAUACAUUGUACUAGUGGCAACUGUAAGAUCACAGCCACAAAGGCACUCUGUACUGUGAAAGUUCAGAUGGUCAUGUCUAAGCUUAAUAAACCAAGUUAUUAAUAAGUCUCUUGGACUUCUCCCUUCAGAGUGGGAGCUAGCAGUCUAGGUUUUACAAAGACAAUACUUUCCUAGUUCAUCCGUUCCAAGAAACUAUGGUUAGCAGUUUUGGAACGAGGCAGGAUAUUAAGACAAAUG